rnacentral:rRNA from 1 species
UACAGAGGGGGCAAGCGUUAUUCGGAAUUAUUGGGCGUAAAGGGCGCGUAGGCGGCCUGACAAGUGGAAGGUGAAAUCCCUCGGCUUAACCGAGGAACUGCCCCCCAAACUGUUUGGCUUGAGACCGGGAGAGGUGAGUGGAAUUCCCAGUGUAGCGGUGAAGUGCGUAGAUAUUGGGAGGAACACCAGUGGCGAAGGCGGCUCACUGGACCGGUACUGACGCUGAGGCGCGAAAGCGUGGGGAGCAAACGGG